CCUACGGGAGGCAGCAGUGGGGAAUAUUGCACAAUGGGGGAAACCCUGAUGCAGCGACGCCGCGUGAGUGAUGAAGUAAUUCGGUGUUUAAAGCUCUAUCAGCAGGGAAGAAAAUGACGGUACCUGUGUAAGAAGCCCCGGCUAACUACGUGCCAGCAUCCGCGGUAAUACGUAGGGGGCAAGCGUUAUCCGGAUUUACUGGGUGUAAAGUGAGCGUAAACGGCAGUGCAAGUCUGGAGUGAAAGGCGGGGGCUCAACCACCGGACUGCUCUGGAAACUGUACGGCUGGAGUGCAGGAGAGGUAAGUGGAAUUCCUAGUGUAGCGGUGAAAUGCGUAGAUAUUAGGAGGAACACCAGUGGCGAAGGCGGCUUACUGGACUGUAACUGACGUUGAGGCUCGAAAGCGUGGGGAGCAAACAGGAUUAGAUACCCCUGUAGUC
rnacentral:rRNA from 1 species